rnacentral:tRNA from 1 species
AAAUUUUUUAGUUUAUGAUUAUAAAAUUUUUAGUUGUGGUCUAAGAGAAUAAAAAAAUUUU